rnacentral:rRNA from 1 species
AGAGUUUGAUCCUGGCUCAGGACGAACGCUGGCGGUGUGCUUAACACAUGCAAGUCGAACGGUAAGGCCCUUUUUUGGGGUACACGAGUGGCGAACGGGUGAGUAACACGUGAGUAACCUGCCCUCAUCUCUGGGAUAACAGUCGGAAACGGUUGCUAAUACUGGAUAUGAGCUUGCAAGGCAUCUUGUGGGUUGGAAAGAUAUUUUUUUGGUUGGGGAUGGACUCGCGGCCUAUCAGCUUGUUGGUGAGGUAGUGGCUCACCAAGGCUUCGACGGGUAGCCGGCCUGAGAGGGCGACCGGCCACAUUGGGACUGAGAUACGGCCCAAACUCCUACGGGAGGCAGCAGUGGGGAAUAUUGCACAAUGGACGGAAGUCUGAUGCAGCAACGCCGCGUGCGGGAUGACGGCCUUCGGGUUGUAAACCGCUUUCAAUUGUGACGAAGCUUUUUGUGACGGUAGCAGUAGAAGAAGCACCGGCUAACUACGUGCCAGCAGCCGCGGUGAUACGUAGGGUGCGAGCGUUGUCCGGAUUUAUUGGGCGUAAAGAGCUUGUAGGUGGUUUGUCGCGUCGGGAGUGAAAACUCAGGGCUUAACUCUGAGCUUGCUUUCGAUACGGGCUGACUUGAGGGAGGUAGGGGAGAAUGGAAUUCCUGGUGGAGCGGUGGAAUGCGCAGAUAUCAGGAGGAACACCGGUGGCGAAGGCGGUUCUCUGGACCUUUCCUGACGCUGAGAAGCGAAAGCGUGGGGAGCGAACAGGCUUAGAUACCCUGGUAGUCCACGCUGUAAACGGUGGGUACUAGGUGUGGGGGACAUUCCACGUUCUCCGUGCCGUAGCUAACGCAUUAAGUACCCCGCCUGGGGAGUACGGCCGCAAGGCUAAAACUCAAAGGAAUUGACGGGGCCCCGCACAAGCGGCGGAGCAUGCGGAUUAAUUCGAUGCAACGCGAAGAACCUUACCAAGGCUUGACAUACGCUGGGACGGUGCAGAGAUGUGCUGGCUUUUGCUGGUGUACAGGUGGUGCAUGGUUGUCGUCAGCUCGUGUCGUGAGAUGUUGGGUUAAGUCCCGCAACGAGCGCAACC